rnacentral:rRNA from 1 species
UACGAAGGGGGCUAGCGUUGCUCGGAAUCACUGGGCGUAAAGCGCACGUAGGCGGAUCUUUAAGUCAGGGGUGAAAUCCCAAGGCUCAACCUUGGAACUGCCUUUGAUACUGGGGAUCUCGAGUCCGGAAGAGGUUGGUGGAACUGCGAGUGUAGAGGUGAAAUUCGUAGAUAUUCGCAAGAACAACCAGUGGCGAAGGCGGCCAACUGGUCCGGUACUGACGCUGAGGUGCGAAAGCGUGGGGAGCAAACAGG